rnacentral:rRNA from 1 species
GACGAACCGUGCGAACGUUAUUCGGAAUCACUGGGCUUAAAGCGCGUGUAGGCGGCCCGGCACGUCAUCGGCUGAAAUCCCCCGGCCCAACCGGGGAACGGGCCGUGAUACGACCGGGCUGGAGGGGGGUAGGGGGCGCCGGAACUCACGGUGGAGCGGUGAAAUGCGUUGAGAUCGUGAGGAACGCCCGUGGCGAAAGCGGGCGCCUGGGCCCCGCCUGACGCUGAGACGCGAAAGCCAGGGGAGCGAACGGG